rfam:Drosophila busckii chromosome 3L sequence.
GUUGGCUGCAUAUCCGAUAUAGCGCUUCAAAUAAAGAUUUAUUUUGGCGUUUAUAACUGCAGCCUACAACAAAGUGCAGGAACUCUGUGUGAUUGCAUUCAAGUCUGUGCAUUGACAUCGUUAUUUCUGCUACAUUA